AGAGUUUGAUCCUGGCUCAGGCCACCUUUGAUGGUCCAGUUGUCAUUGGUAUUCCACACCAGAUAAGCACGCGGGCUGGUAUGGCCGCCAAAAGUGUCGUGGUCGUCACGACGUAAGCCCACAGUCAGGUUCAGAUCUGUCAGCAGCUGCCAGCUAUCCUCGGCAAACAGCGCCCAUGAGGUUUGGGCGAAACUUUCUGUUGCCACCCCAUCUGUCAUUUGCGCGUCCCACCACUGACCACCCAGGGUGAAAUGAUGAUCAGCGAGCUGACUGCCCCACUUGGCAUCAAAUACGGUAUUUUCUGCUUCCAGUAACCUUGGUUGGCCUGCACCUUUGACGCCUGGCGGAAUCAGGCGGCCUUUGGUUUCGGUGUUAUUUUGCAUCAGGCUUAAGUCGAGGUUGCCGCUGUCAAAAUCAGCCUGAUAACCCAAACUGGCUUGCUGGCGUUGGUACUUCUGCUCUGGUAAAUAACCGCCUGUACCUAAGGUACCCAGCUGACCUUUGCUGUUGUCGUAUUUCUGGGCAGUGCUGUCUAAAUCCAGGCUCAACAGCUGGUUUUGCAACAACUGAUAAUUCAGUUUGGCGCCCGAGGUCAGAAUAUCGGCUUUGACCGGGUUCGCGCCCAUCGCCAUGGCACCCAGUUCAACUUCUUUGCCGUCCACUGUCUGAUAAGAGAUUUCCGAGCGGUCGCGCUGAUAAGCUUUGGCGCGUAACACCAGCCCGAGUUUGUCAUUCAGCAGAGGACCAUUCAGAUAAAGGCUCGCUGAGCGGUUGUCACCAAAGGCGUUUUCCUGCUGUAAGGUAUUUUCCAGCGUGGCAACACCACCCCAGCUGGCACCGACUUUUUUAGUGAUAAUGUUUACCACACCACCCAUAGCGUCUGAGCCGUAUAGCGUCGACAUAGGGCCACGGAUAAUUUCAAUGCGGUCGAUAGCAGAAAUUGGCGGCAUAAAACUGGUGGAGGUUUCGCCAAAACCAUUUGGCGUCACAUUGCCGGCACUAUUCUGGCGACGACCGUCGAUCAGGAUCAGGGUGUAGUCACUGGGCAUACCACGGAUGCUGAUAUUUAAACCACCGGUUUUACCGGCACUGUCACCCACGUCUAUACCUUCCACAUCCGAUAAAGCGUCGGCAAUGCUGGCAACGUGCUUUUUGCUCAGCUCUUCCCCUGUCAAAACCGUAAUGCUGGCUGGCGCUUCCCGCAAUUCCUGGGCAUAACCUGCGGUUGGAUCACCUCCU
rnacentral:rRNA from 1 species